GGCAGAAGAGAGAGAAGUGGAGAAACGGCAGCAUGAGGGGGACUUGGCCUGAUCUUGCUAGCUUUGAAGAUAGAGAAAUGGGGUAAUGAGCCAAGGAAUGCAGGCAGCCUCUAAAAAAGAAGAAAAAGCAAGAAAACAAAUUAUCCCUGGGAGCCUUCAGAAAGAAACACAGCCCUGGCAACACCAGGAUUUUAGCCCGGCAAAACCCAUUUCAGACUUCCGAUCUCCAGAACAUUUCAUUGGAUAAAUCCUGAGAAGAUUGGGGGGCAAAGGAGGAAGGGUGCUCUGAGGACUUGCUUACGUGAUCCAAACGUCUGGAUCAUACAAAUGACUAAGAAGUCAGCUCAAUAAAAAGAAAUCCUUUAAUUUCAACGGUUUGAGGAAUUCUCUGCUGACUCAAUUGGGACAGUGAAAAACAGCAAGAGCAAGAGCAAAACAGCAGAGUCAGUCUCCCUCCCAGAGCCUUUGCACUUUCUGCUGUUUUUGCAGAAGGAAACUUCCCCCAACUCUCAUGUGGCUUGGGCCCUCGUUGUUUUCAGGUCUUUUCCCAUAGUGAAGCCUUUGUUGUUUAACCCAUCUAAAAGUUCCCUGCCCCGCUGUGACUCUCCCUGUCCCUUUUCCCAGCAUUAUUUGUCAUUUUUAGUACUUGAUACUAACAUACUAGUUGUUUCUUAUGCUGUUGAUUGUUUUUUGUACCCACCUGACAUGUUCACUAUUCACUCUACUCAACCAGGGGUGGUGAUAUUGCAUUCAAAGUCACAAGACCCAGCAGACUUGACUUAGCACCACGCUUACUUAGAUUUUAGAAAAAAAUAUAGGCAAAAUACCAGGUACAGUAACAGUAUAGAAAAGGCCUCUUGACUCUCAGGUGCAGUUUCCAAAUGCCCUGUCAUUCCCCAUUCAGGAUGUG
rnacentral:lncRNA from 1 species